rnacentral:rRNA from 1 species
GCUUGUUGGUGGGGUAAAGGCCUACCAAGGCGAUGAUCGAUAGCUGGUCUGAGAGGAUGAUCAGCCACACUGGGACUGAGACACGGCCCAGACUCCUACGGGAGGCAGCAGUGGGGAAUAUUGGACAAUGGGCGAAAGCCUGAUCCAGCAAUGCCGCGUGUGUGAAGAAGGUCUUCGGAUUGUAAAGCACUUUCGACGGGGACGAUGAUGACGGUACCCGUAGAAGAAGCCCCGGCUAACUUCGUGCCAGCAGCCGCGGUAAUACGAAGGGGGCUAGCGUUGCUCGGAAUGACUGGGCGUAAAGGGCGCGUAGGCGGUUCACACAGUCAGAUGUGAAAUUCCAGGGCUUAACCUUGGGGCUGCAUUUGAUACGUGUGGACUAGAGUGUGAGAGAGGGUUGUGGAAUUCCCAGUGUAGAGGUGAAAUUCGUAGAUAUUGGGAAGAACACCGGUGGCGAAGGCGGCAACCUG